rnacentral:tRNA from 11 species
UAUGUCACAGUGGUAACGCAUCCUGGUUGUAAUGAGAAGAUCCGUGGUUCAAAUCCG